rnacentral:rRNA from 1 species
GUGCCAGCAGCCGCGGUAAUACGUAGGGGGCAAGCGUUGUCCGGAUUUAUUGGGCGUAAAGAGCGUGUAGGCGGCCAGGUAGGUCGGUUGUGAAAACUAGAGGCUCAACCUCUAGACGUCGACCGAAACCAUCUGGCUAGAGUCCGGAAGAGGAGAGUGGAAUUCCUGGUGUAGCGGUGGAAUGCGCAGAUAUCAGGAAGAACACCCGUGGCGAAGGCGGCUCUCUGGGACGGUACUGACGCUGAGACGCGAAAGCGUGGGGAGCGAACAGGAUUAGAUACCCUCGUAGUCC